AAGUCGUAACAAGGUUUCCGUAGGUGAACCUGCGGAAGGAUCAUUAACACGUAUCCAACGUUAAACCCCCUGUGUCCCUUCAUUGUAUGAGUUACAUCCACGUCAUAAACCGGCAAUCUCUGGUAAAUCAUCGCCGAACAGUUUUGAUUCAGAGACCUCUGGGAAGGGUGUACGGUAGUGCGAGGCAAUUGACCUGGCAUUCCUCUGCUUGUUAGUGUCUGAAAGUGUCACUAGCUAUGUACGGAUGGCGCAGUAACGAUCGCUGGAGGCCGACACGGCCGGCGACCAGGUCACUGGGCUACGGCCCCCCUGAUCACAACCUUUGCAUGAAAACGGGCCUGCGCUGAGGUGCGGCCACCCCUAAUGCUUGAACAACUGUUAACAAUGGAUAUCUUGGUUCUC
rnacentral:misc_RNA from 1 species